rnacentral:rRNA from 1 species
ACAGUUCGAAAGGGCUGCUAAGACCGGGUAAGCUCACGGAGUCGCAUGGCUCUGGAAGAAAAGGUCCUGCAAGGGACUGGGGUGAGAGGGGUCCGCGGUCCAUUAGCUAGUUGGAGGGGUAACGGCCCACCAAGGCGACGAUCGAGAGACGGCCUGAGAGGGCAACCGGCCACACUGGGACUGAGACACGGCCCAGACUCCUACGGCAGGCGUCACUCUGGAAUUUUGGGCAAUGGCCGAGAGGGCUCACCCAGCAACACGGCGUGAGUGAAGAAGGCCUUCGGGUUGCAAAGCUCUGUUACUCGUGAAGAACGGUGUGGAGAGGAAAUGCUCCAUACUUGACGGUAGCGGGGGAGGAAGCUCCGGCUAACUACGUGCCAGCAGCCGCGGUAAUACGUAGGGAGCGAGCGUUGUCCGGAUUUAUUGGGCGUAAAGGGCGUGUAGGCGGCUUGUUAAGUCUGGAGUGAAAAUCCGGGGCUCAACCCCGGAACUGCUUCGGAUACUGAUGAGCUUGAGUACUCUAGAGGGCAGUGGAAUUCCCGGUGUAACAACGAAAUGCGUAGAGAUCGGGAGGAACACCGCUGGCGAAGGCGACUGUCUGGGGACAAACUGACGCUGAGGCGCGAAAGCUGCGGGAGCUAACGGGAUCAGAUACCUCGGUAGUCUCAGCNGUAUCCGAUGAGUUUUAGGUGUAGAGCGUAUGGAUCCCCCUCUGAGCCGCAGUUAACGCAAUAAGCACUCUGCAUGGGGAGUAAGUCCGCAAGGUGGUAACUCAAAGGAAUUGACGGGGGCCCGCACAAGCAGCUGAGCAUGAGGUUUAUUUCGAAGCAACGUGUAGAACGUUGCCAGGGCUUGACAUGUAGUGAAUCCGCCAGAGAUGGUGGAGUGCUCCUUCGGGAGAUACGCUAACACAGGUGGUGCAUGGUUGUAGUCAGCUCGUGUCGUGAGAUAUUGGCUUAAGUCCCGCAACGAGCGCAACCCCUAUCGUAUGUCGCCAGCAGGUAAAGCUGGGCACUCAUGCGAGAGUGCCGGUGACAAACCGGAGGAAGGUGGGGAUGACGUCAAAUCAUCAUGCCCCUUAUGUCCUGGGCGACACACGUGCUACAAUGGGCGCCACAAAGCGAACCGAGACCGCGAGGUGGAGGAAACCGCAAAAGGCGUUCGUAGUUCAGAUCGCAGGCUGCAACUCGCCUGCGUGAAGCCGGAGUUGCUAGUAAUCGCGGAUCAGCACGCCGCGGUGAAUACGUUCCCGGGCCUUGUACACACCGCCCGUCACACCAUGGGAGCUGGUAACACCCGAAGUCGGUGAGUUAA